rnacentral:rRNA from 1 species
UACGUAGGGUGCGAGCGUUAAUCGGAAUUACUGGGCGUAAAGCGUGCGCAGGCGGCUUCGCAAGUCAGACGUGAAAUCCCCGGGCUUAACCUGGGAAUGGCGUUUGAAACUACGGAGCUGGAGUGUGGCAGAGGGAGGUAGAAUUCCACGUGUAGCAGUGAAAUGCGUAGAGAUGCGGAGGAACACCGAUGGCGAAGGCAGCCCCCUGGGCCAACACUGACGCUCAGGCACGAAAGCGUGGGGAGCAAACAGG